AGUGAAUAGAUACCCUGGUAGUCCACGCCGUAAACGAUGAUCACUCGCUGUUGGCGAUACACAGUCAGCGGCUAAGCAAAAGCAUUAAGUGAUCCACCUGGGGAGUACGGCCGCAAGGCUGAAACUCAAAGGAAUUGACGGGGGCCCGGCACAAGCGGAGGAAACAUGUGGUUUAAUUCGAUGAUACGCGAGGAACCUUACCUGGGCUUAAACUGUAGAGUGCAUGAGGUGGAAACACUUCUUUCCUUCGGGACUCUUUGCAAGGUGCUGCAUGGUUGUCGUCAGCUCGUGCCGUGAGGUGUCGGGUUAAGUCCCAUAACGAGCGCAACCCUUAUCGUUAGUUGCCAGCGGGUAAUGCCGGGAACUCUAGCGAAACUGCCGGUGUAAACCCGAGAGGAAGGUGGGGUAUGACGUCAAAUUAGCACGGCCCUUAUGUCCAGGGCUACACACGUGUUACAAU
rnacentral:rRNA from 1 species